UGGGGAAUUUUCCGCAAUGGGCGAAAGCCUGACGGAGCAACGCCGCGUGAGGGAUGAAGGCCUCUGGGCUGUAAACCUCUUUUAUCAAGGAAGAAGAUCUGACGGUACUUGAUGAAUAAGCCACGGCUAAUUCCGUGCCAGCAGCCGCGGUAAUACGGGAGUGGCAAGCGUUAUCCGGAAUUAUUGGCCGUAAAGCGUCCGCAGGCGGCCCUUCAAGUCUGCUGUUAAAAAGUGGAGCUUAACUCCAUCAUGGCAGUGGAAACUGAGGGGCUUGAGUGUGGUAGGGGCAGAGGGAAUUCCCGGUGUAGCGGUGAAAUGCGUAGAUAUCGGGAAGAACACCAGUGGCGAAGGCGCUCUGCUGGGCCAUCACUGACGCUCAUGGACGAAAGCCAGGGGAGCGAAUGGGAUUAGAUACCCCAGUAGUC
rnacentral:rRNA from 1 species